rnacentral:lncRNA from 1 species
AUUGUGAAAUGAAAGUGGAAGUUCAAGAACAUAAAUCCAUUCCAUCAAUCCAUGUGCUGGUUUCUCUGUCUUAGUAAAUAUUCACUGAACUCCUAGUACUUUCUUGGUCCUAUGUUUUCCUCAACAUAACAUGGAAACACACACAGACAUACAGCCAAAGGCAGAUGGUGACACCACACACACACACACACACACACACACACACACACACACACACACAGACACACACACACACACACCAGCCUUGCAGUGAGAAAGUAGACAGGAAAGAGAUAAACAAUGAACAACAGUAAAAGAAAAAAGAAAACACACACACAGUGAUGACAGUUUAACAUAACAAUGGGUAUUAAAAACAAAUCAAAUAAUAGGUUGGUGACAUGAAUAAAAAUUAAAUUAUGGGAAUUUACUUUUCAUAGGAUGAGCAGGAAAAAUAAUUCUGAACAAUGAAUAAGAAGUCAUAGUGAUUAUUUUAAUUAAAAAUUUGAAAUUAUUAUGGGAUUAAGUAAACAUCAUACCUAUAAUUAGAAUUGUUUGAGGUAAAAACAAAUACAAGGACCUCAGGGAAUAGGAUUUUGGCAUAAUUUGAGCACUAAACUAAAUCCAGAUGUUUGAACCACUAUAUCCAAAGGUAGAAAAGU